UGGGGAAUCUUGGACAAUGGGCGCAAGCCUGAUCCAGCAAUGCCGCGUGUGUGAAGAAGGCCUGCGGGUUGUAAAGCACUUUCAGUGGGGAAGAUGAUGACGGUACCCACAGAAGAAGCACCGGCUAACUCGGUGCCAGCAGCCGCGGUAAUACGGAGGGUGCGAGCGUUAAUCGGAAUUACUGGGCGUAAAGCGCGCGUAGGUGGUUUUGUAAGUCGGAUGUGAAAGCCCAGGGCUUAACCUUGGAAUUGCAUUCGAUACUGCUUAACUAGAGUAUGGUAGAGGGAAGUGGAAUUUCCGGUGUAGCGGUGAAAUGCGUAGAUAUCGGAAGGAACACCAGUGGCGAAGGCGACUUCCUGGGCCAAUACUGACACUGAGGUGCGAAAGCGUGGGGAGCAAACAGGAUUAGAUACCCCUGUAGUCC
rnacentral:rRNA from 1 species